GACGAACGCUGGCGGCGUGCUUAACACAUGCAAGUCGAACGCGCCUGUCCUCUGGGUUUCUGGGGGGUGGGUGAGUGGCGAACGGGUGAGUAACACGUGAGUAACCUGCCCCCUUCUUCGGGAUAACGGUCUGAAAGGGCUGCUAAUACCGGGUAUUCACUGGUCUCCGCAUGGGGUCUGGUGGAAAGGUUUUUUUCUGGUGGGGGAUGGGCUCGCGGCCUAUCAGCUUGUUGGUGGGGUGAUGGCCCACCAAGGCUUUGACGGGUAGCCGGCCUGAGAGGGUGACCGGUCACAUUGGGACUGAGAUACGGCCCAGACUCAUACGGGAGGCAGCAGUGGGGAAUAUUGCACAAUGGGCGCAAGCCUGAUGCAGCGACGCCGCGUGAGGGAUGGAGGCCUUCGGGUUGUGAACCUCUUUCGCCCGUGGUCAAGCCGCGACGUGGGUCGUGGUGAGGGUAGUGGGUAAAGAAGCGCCGGCUAACUACGUG
rnacentral:rRNA from 1 species